rnacentral:rRNA from 1 species
UACGUAGGGGGCAAGCGUUGUCCGGAAUCAUUGGGCGUAAAGCGCGUGUAGGCGGUUCGGUAAGUCUGCUGUGAAAGUCCAGGGCUCAACCCUGGGAUGCCGGUGGAUACUGUCGGACUAGAGUACGGAAGAGGCGAGUGGAAUUCCUGGUGUAGCGGUGAAAUGCGCAGAUAUCAGGAGGAACACCGAUGGCGAAGGCAGCUCGCUGGGACGGUACUGACGCUGAGACGCGAAAGCGUGGGGAGCAAACAGG